ACUAGUGUGGCGUAGUGGUUUGAGUGUUGGACUAUGGCUCUAGAGUCCAGGGUUCCACUCCCAGCUCGACCA